GCAUAACUUCUCAUAUCUUAUCUUCCAUAUCCCAGGUAUAUAUUAGAUAUAUAAUUCAAAGCCUUCUAAAGUUUUACUCAGUCAGAAGUAAGUUAAUAUCUUUGUAUCAUUUUUAUUGUGGUUUCCUUCCUUGUAUAUAUACAAUGUUUCCUUGCUGAAAUAACAUAUCUCUUAAGCGUAUUACUUUCAAACUCUCUCUCUCUCUCUCGCACAUCUCUGUAAUUUCCUCUCUACAAUAUCAGUUCUAUCAUUACUUUAUAUUUCUGCUUUCUAUCAGUAUAAUCACCC
rnacentral:lncRNA from 1 species